GCAGGGACGGCUCCCUACAGAGGAGGAGAAAAUUGGGCUCACACACUUUGGUCACAAGACAAGGAGAAAUCAAGUUGGCACUGACCAGGAAGCUUCCUGCCCACUGGGUAGCUUCUAUAGUACUGGAAGGUGCUCUUCAGACUGCUGUGCUAAAGUCAUAUCUAACCAUAGCACAGGGUAAAGAACUCACUUCUGAGACUGGAUCUCCACCCCACCCCCACCCCCGCCCUGAGAAGCAGAAUCCCAGAUAGCUCACAGCCAGCAAGCCUACUGUAACAAGGUGAGCAUGAAGACCAACUCUUGGCACUGGGGUGGAGGAGGCAGAAGGUGAGUAGUUCAAGGCCAUCCUCAGCUAUAUGAGACUCUGCUUUAAAACAUUAAGAAGAGGAGCUGGAGAGGCGGCUCAGCACAUAAGAGUGAUUGCUGCUCUUCCAGAGGGCAGUACCCAGCACCCACAUCUGGCAACUUACAAUUGUAUGUCACUCCAGCCACAGAGAAUCUGAUGCCUGCUUCUGGCCUCUUCGGACACUCACACACUCAUACUCACAUACAUAAAUAAAAAUAAAUCUUGGGUAUAAAAAAAAGAAAUGGGUAGUGUAUGGGAGAAACAUGGACAGACAAAAUUAAAUUGCUAAGACACUGAAAGGAGAUAUGAGAUAGUCAGAGAAGCUGAGGAACAAAGGAAGGAGGUGGUAAAACCAGGGUGGUUAGAGGCUAAACUGCCCAACCAGAGCUAGAACCAGGGCAGAUAGCUCCUGCUGCACCCAAAGCUGAAACAGGGCUUUAGGGCCCUCCUUCCUCCUCCCUGCGAGGCAACCCCCCCAUCCCCCCAUCUUCCCCCUGAUAGCUGAAGAUUCUAAAAUCAACCAUGCCAUGUUUGAGUCUGGUCCAGGCACCUGGACUGAGUCUUGUUGGCUGAGUCUAGCUCUUUUACAUGCUAAGAGUUUGAUUUAGAACAAGUUAUCUCAACUAUUUGUGACUCAGUUUCCUCAAUUAUAAAAUGAGGAUAAAAACAACACUGGCUUCCCAGAGGUGUGGCCACCUUUCAGUGAGAUAAUAUAUGUAAAGUGCUAUGAACAAUGCCUGGCAUAUGUGAGUAAUCCCUAGAAGCACGAAAAUAUUUGUUGGCAUUUAUUAUUAUGUAUGUGUAAGUGUAUGUGGUUCCAUGUAUGCCACAGCACACAGGUAGACGGAAUUCCUUCAUGCUUCCUAUAUACCUUGCAAGUAGCCUGGAGAUAAGUUUAAACAAUAUUUUUAGCAAUUCUGCAGGUGAAACAGGUUUCACUGAGUGUAAUUUCUUACCUGUGGUGCUAUGUUGGUGCUCAAGUGAUUUAAAAUUGUGGGAGUGUUUCAGAUUUGAAUUUUCAGAUUAGGAUGUUCAUCUUGGGGAAAAUACUUAACGUCUCCAUGCCUACACUUCAUCUGUAAGAUGGAAGUCACCACCGAAUCUAUCUCACAGGACUGCUGACUGGAGGAGCAGACAUCUCCCUGUUAAAUAUUUACUAUGUGUAUACUAAACGUUUACUUAGGAAUAAGCCUGAAAUGUGGGAAAACCUCAACUUGUUACUCUUUGUAAAUAUUACCCACCUGUGCCACAGGGAACCAGGGACCACCUUAAGCCCACAAUUUAUUUUAUUUUUUUUUUUUUAAUUUUUUUUUUUUUCGAGACAGGGUUUGUCUGUGCAACUGCCCUGACUGUCCUGGAACUCCACUCUGUAGACCAGGCUGACCCUGAACUCAGAUCUGCCUUCCUCUGCCUCCCUAGUGCUGAAAUUAAAGGUGUGAGCCAUCACUGCCCGGCUUGGGUUUUGUUUGUUUGUUUGUUUGUUUGGCUGGUUAAGCCCACAAAAUUUAACAAUACCUCCUGUGACUGAGAAGAAUAGCUGCUCUCGGACAGGAGCACUUCAUUUCCUGUCUGCCAAUGUGCUUAGGGCUCAAUUACAUAUUAUUUCCCUAAAUGUUCACAAGUACCAUAGGAGGGAGCUGCACUAUCAUGAUCCUCAAUUUUAUAGGACUGCUGAAUGGAGGAGUAAUUUUCUCAAGUUCACGGAACCAGCAAGUGCUGAAGCCAUAUUUACCAUUUGUUGCGUACGGAGUCUCAGCAGGGGAGUAAGCUUCACUGUUGGGAAGAAAGCACACAGUCAAGGCUCCAGCCUACAGGAAGUGCUUGCUACCAGAAGGGCCACGGAAUCUCAAGCGCUGGGUCAAGAAAAAGUACUGAGAACUCAAGUGUCCAAAGACACUUAAGAGGUGCGGGUAAAGCAGGUCUCCUUUGACAUCGUGUUACAAGACGCGAUCUGGAAAAUAACCCCGGCCGCAGGCAAAAGGCUAACCAGAGCGGGACUGCAAAAGGAACCCGGAAAGGGGCUGAGCGCGGGUGGGCGGGGCCGCGCGGUGACUGGCAG
ensembl:lncRNA